rnacentral:lncRNA from 1 species
GAAUCCGUCUUCCCCACACACACCCGCAUCUCAUUCCCCCCCGACCGGCCGGCUAGGGUUUCCCCCCGCCGACGGCCGGACACCUCCCCGCCGCUCUCGGCCGCCACCCCGCCAGAUCCUCCACCUCGUCCGUCCACCUCGCUGUCGGCUGAGAUAAGCGCCUCCCCGGAGCCGGCAGAAGCCCUCCGCUCCCGAGCCGACGACCACCUCCCCCCGACGGCACCGCCAGCCGCCCCCCGACGGCAGGAGGGAAGCAAAGGUGAGGACUUGCGGCGCGUUUAUUCCCUCCAUGGAUCCAGUUCCCAUCAUUUUGAUCCAUGCGCGCCUCCGUCAUGAAUUACGCCCGUAGGAUUUCGCAAAGCGGCGCCGUAUCUGGGGCUGAGAAAAAAAAUAUUCUACUUGCGGAGUCCAGUGGGAAGACUGCGUGCGUUUGUCUGCUGAGCUAGACUGCAUUAGCGUAAGACUGGGUUAUUAUCAUAUACUCCCUCCGUUCCAAAAUAUAAGACCUUUUAGAGAUUUCACUAGGAGACUACAUACGAAUCAAAAUGAAUGAAUAUAUACUUUAAAAUAUGUCUAUGUACAUCCGUAUGUAGUUCAUAGUACAAUCUCUAAAAGGUCUUAUAUUUAGGAACGGAGGGAGUAACAGCAAAUCCCCGUACCCAAGCACUUCCAGUUCUCUGUGUUAUGCGUUGUUCUUCUUCUUUUGCAUGGAUCCAUUGAAUCUCCGUCGUGAUUGAAGCCAUUAGGAUUUUUGAAAGUUGCAGCAGGGACAAGGGUAGUCUAUGUAGAGCGGAUGCAUCUUUUAAUGAUAUACGACUCAAAAGGUGUACGUCGCUUGUUCAUAGACGUAACUGUGUUGGCCUUUGAAGCGCCGAUACAACGGACGCCGGACACGGGGGGCACGGGAUAAGGCGUUUCGCGGAAACGGCCAUGUGGCGACAAGGGGACUAUACAUAGAUAAUCCAAAAGAUAUAGCAUGUAAUGUAAUGAUGACAUAAUUAUAACUUUGAGGUGUGAGAUCAAAGUAGUGCCCGUUUGUUAUCUACUGAGUGAUCAAAGAUAUAGCUUUCUGGGCUGUUGCGGUUAGCGUGUCGGGGUUGGGUGGGCUUUACUCGGUGCGCUCUCUCCCGUAUCCUGAACGUAGCCCUGGCGUACUGGUGGGAUGUACCUAUUUCUUUCCUUUUCUAAUUUCGAAAAACAGGGGUAGGGGAUACAGCAGACUCUGGAGUAUCGGUGCUUUGCUGUCUUUAACAUGUUGUUUAAGUUGUUUGCAAGUUGCUUUUAAAAUUUGUUCAUGAAAGGUUGUUUUUGGUGUAUAAGGUAGUUUUUGCUUUUAUUAUGUCUGUUAUUAGUUUGUUUUAGUAUAUAAGGUAGUUUCUGUUUUUCCGAUGUGUUAAUUUGAUCUGAUACUGGAUUUGUGUUGCGUGCGCAUAGAUGCAAAUGAAAGGAAAUGGUACAUCUUAGGUCCAGGUUCCUGCGUUUUCCUAAUUAGAAACAUUGAUUAUGAUGUGUUUUCCUAAUUACAAACAUUGAUUGUGAUAACUAGCUUCCACAGCUUACUAAAUCUGGGCAUUUUCCUUUUAUUUGCCUUUAUGCUCAUGUGCCACAAAUCAAGUGAAAGGUCCAGCUUAGCAGAAAAUAAACGAUUCCAUGCAGUAACUAUGGUAAAAUCCUUGCUGUAGUCCCCAAACGCCGCAACAUUUGCCCAUAUUUGGGCUUUCUUCCCAUACUUGUGACUUAACCCUUGACUCACAAAAAGAUGUUCUUGUAUAACCUUCAAACUUCUGCUUGACUCCAGAUUCAAGGGAUUAUUUUGAAUUAAAAUCAAACAAAACUAAGAGAUAAUAUUGAUACACUUGGCCUGAAUCUUUGGUCGAUUCGUUACUGCCCCAUUUCAGCCAGGAUUCAUGUAACCAGCUAAAAUUCUGGAAAAUCCUGCCGCCCUGAUGGGACCGAACAUGAAAAUCUUCGGGAUACUCGAGUGUAACUCAUAAAUAUGCGAAUCAAAGACCACAUGAUGAAACACCUCAUGUGUUACCUGGUGGUAAGUUGCUAGUUUUAACGCGAUUGGCGGAGGCAGGAUUUGUAGAUUGUGUGUGCAGAUAGCUCAAAGCUUAAAUUUUUUACUAACUAAUUAUUAGGUUAACACAGAGCUCUAAGCUCUUUUUACAAAAAAUAAUGGGUGUACAUAUGUAUACUCAUGCCCCUAGCCCCUCCCCUGUUUAACGCACAAUUGGUCACAGGCUAUUCGAAUCCCCGUUGAGCAUCGUUUUUUCUCUACGAGUGUGUAUGCAACACAAUUUCCGAAGCUGGCAUAUUAGGUCCCAUACACAGGUAGUAAUAUGGACAAUAAUACGAAACUGAUAAAUGUAACAUCAACUGCUUAAAUCCUCAACGGUCAACCCAAGGAACAGGACUCUAACAACUACAGUGAGAGUGUUGCUCUGUUCUUCUGGUAAGCCCUCAAGUUCUUGCUUAACUUCAGAUUUUGAAUUUCCUAAUUUGUUUGGAACUAUUUGGCAUUAAAAUCCUGAGCCCCUGUAAUAGUUUCAGACUGUAGCCAAAACUCUGUGUUGAGCCCCCACAAUACUUGCCCUUGCUGCUUUGACAUGAAGUAGCAGUGAACCCACCUGCUGAGCUACCAAUCUGGUCGUCUGUUCUGAUCCAACAGGCCUAACUACCUGCUAUGAUACGACGUGGGGAAAUUGGGAAGCCAAAUCAGCACGGCUGUUCAGUCUGUGUGGAGAAGCGGACGUACCUUUAUUUACACAACACUUUACAUUCAGGAUACUGCGGAGUACCAGUGCUCCUUUUUACUAGGAAAUGGACCAUUCAACGCAGCUGGAUGUAGUACUAUGUAAGGAAGAUAUUCAUUCGUUGUUUGCAGAACCAGAUCAGAGCGAAAUAUUAUUAGCAAGUUUGGCUUUCUUACCAACAAAAUAAUUCAGUCAAGGGUAGGAGGAAAAGAGUUUGAUAAGGCGGCAUGCCACUGUGGAAUUUAGAAGUUUUCUUUAGUUUAUAUCUGAAUGAAUAAUAUCGUUAAGAGUGAGUUUUAACAGCUUGUUGUUGUAAUUUUUGCUGCAGCAAUAUUCAAGUUGUCUUCUUCCUUGUUCUUUUUCUGUUGACUUGCAUUGAUUCUGUUCUAGUUGCAACUAUUUACCUCAGGCCGGGGUUACUCAUUUAGAAUUUGUUUAUGUAGUUGAAAUUUUGCCACUUUGCCAGUAUAAUCAUGUGUCAUACUGAAAUCGUUUAGCAUACCAUCAUGCUCUCUCACUCUGUUGUAGCAGAGCAGUUUGAAAACAAAUCUACUUGCUGUGAAAAUUCCAUUGGUUCCGUGUGUAAUUAGGUUACUGCUAGAUUUGAUUUAGAGUUAUUAUCUGUUGUAUUUAUGUCAGCUCUUGAUUUUUCAUUUUCAGUCUGCACUGCACACAAGUUACUGAAAUUCA